rnacentral:rRNA from 1 species
AUGCUCUUUGCGGAUGAUGUGGUGCUAGUUGACGAUAGUCGGACGGGGGUAAAUAGGAAGUUAGAGUUAUGGAGACAAACCUUGGAAUCGAAAGGGUUUAGGCUUAGUAGAACUGAAACCGAGUACAUGAUGUGCGGUUUCAGUACUACUAGCUGUGAGGAGGAGGAGGUUAGCCUUGAUGGCCAGGUGGUACCUCGGAAGGACACCUUUCGGUAUUUGGGGUCAAUGUUGCAGGAGGAUGGGGGUAUUGAUGAAGAUGUGAACCAUCGAAUCAAAGCCGGAUGGAUGAAGUGGCGCCAAGCUUCUGGCAUUCUCUGUAACAAGAGAGUGCCACAAAAGCUAAAAGGCAAGUUCUACAGGACGGCGGUUCGACCCGCAAUGUUGUAUGGCGCGGAGUGUUGGCCGACUAAAAGGCGACAUGUUCAACAGUUAGGUGUGGCGGAGAUGCGUAUGUUGAGAUGGAUGUGUGGCCACACGAGGAAGGAUCGAGUCCGGAAUGAUGAUAUACGAGAUAGAGUUGGGGUAGCACCAAUUGAGGAGAAGCUUGUCCAACAUCAUUUGAGAUGGUUUGGGCAUAUUCAGCGCAGGCCUCCAGAAGCUCCAGUGCAUAGCGGACGGCUAAAGCGUGCGGAGAAUGUCAAGAGAGGGCGGGGUCGACCGAUUUUGACAUGGGAGGAGUCCGUUAAGAGAGACCUGAAGGAUUGGAGUAUAGACAAAGAGCUAGCUAUGGACAGGGGUGCGUGGAAGCUUGCUAUCCAUGUGCCAGAGCCAUGA